GGGCCGUGUUUGGUUCCGACUGUUGCUCGAGUUACACGGACCCGAGCGGCACGUAGCACGCAUCCCAGCUGUGUCAGGAUUACUGCUGUUGGAACCUUGACCUCACCAAUUAUAAGGUGUGCUGCAGCAACCCCAUUCGACAGGUCCCCUCUUCUGCCCGUGACCAAGAGGCCUGCGCCGAGAGCUGGAUCGCCGAACACAUCUGGGUGCCAAUCGUGUCCGGGUUUGUGUUGUUGGGCCUGAUUGUUUUGUGCUGCUGCUGCUGCUGUUGUGGCUGCUGCUGUCGGAGGGAUCGCAACGUAAUUGUGCAAUCCCCGGGAGGCCCUCAAACGAGCGUUGUGAUGGCCAGCCAGACCAAUAUGAUGCACGCCGGAUAUAACCAGUAGAACCACUUCCGGUCAGAACACGCCAUAACCAUCUUCACAAGCGCCUUAUAUGAAGCAUUUCGACAAUUGGUAGGAUAGGAACAUGUACAUACUGAUAACAAUAAUUAUGUGUGUGAGGACAAUUUUGUAUUUCUUUGUGUUCUCAAUGUUGGGUUUGUAAGAACAGUUUUCUUAUCAGUUGGGACAUUUAGGUGAGGUCAGUCAAGUUGUAAAUUUAAGUGAUUCGUUCGUUUUUAUGGGGCUGUUAUCAUCUCAAUGAUAUCAUGGUAUUGUGUUAAAUGGAACAACAUCGUAAUAUUACCCUUAUUCAUGACAUAUUAUCACAAUGCUUUCGUAUGACAAGGAAACUAGCCGUUCGUUUUACAAGGAAACUAGCCGUUCGUUUGUGACAAUGAAACUAACUCUUAUUGUCACAAUGAAACAACACUUUAUUGUGACAAAGAAACUACACUUUAUUGUGACAAAGAAACUACCCUUUAUUGUGACAAAGAAACUACACUUUAUUGUGACAUUGUGGCAAUGAAACUACCCUUUAUUGUGACAAAGAAACUACCCUUUAUUGUGACAAAGAAACUACCCUUUAUUGUGACAAAGAAACUACCCUUUAUUGUGACAAAGAAACGAGCCUUCAUUGUCGUUGUUGUUUUGAAUUCUAUACUUUUUAUGUUCAGUUUCAAGCAAUUAAGAGUAUAUAUAUAUAAGAAUUAAUAUCACUGCUACGACUUUGUCUUUUUGUAAUUUUGUGAACACAUGACCACUUUUUAAUUAUAAAUGAAUUAAACGCACUGUUGCAUAUUUUAUAUGUAGUUUAAUGAAACAACUUAAUUAUUCAUUAAACCUUUCAUAAAUGAACAUAGGUUAAUGAAGUGAAACACUAAUCUACAUAACCUGAAUUGUUUAAACAUCAUCAUGUCAUAGUGACUAACAGGUUAGGAAUUUCUCAAAAAACUAUGCAUCCUUCAUGACUGUAUAACACUUAAAAUUAAUAAUGUUAUUUAAACCUCUUCAAUUUUGUAAGUUUUCUCUGAAAUAAGGAAGGUUAAUCUCACGGACAGUAAACAAUUUCUGAAUUAUUUACAUGUAUUGCUAUUCUGAUAAAACAACUAAGAUAAUUUUAUAACUCCACAAAAGAAUACAUCUUUUUAUAUUCAAAAAGUUGCCACAAAGUUGACAUUUGGUAUUUUGCAUUUUGAAACCUUUGUCCCAAAUUAGUUAACAGGUUCAUGCAACGUAGUUAUAUAACACGACCGUUAGGAUUUUUUUAAUUAAAAGUACUGUUCCCAUAUUUGAAUCAACAAAAUAUCUCGAGAAAAGCCUUUGUUGAAUUACGCGUAUAUACAAACUAUCAUUGCCAACUUUGGAGCUUAUCAGGGUAAGGCGGUCUCUAUCGACUUCUCCUCUCAAUGCAAUAGUAGCGUU